rnacentral:sRNA from 1 species
AAAUUGACUGAAAAUCGUCAAAAAUUGACUAAAAUCGUCAAAAAUUGACUAG